rnacentral:rRNA from 1 species
GUCUAUGGCCAUGCUGCCCUAAACAAGCCCAAUCCCAUCUGAUCUCAGAAGCUAAGAAGGGUCGGGCCUGAUUAGUACUUGGAUGGGAGACCACCUAGGAAGACUAGGUGCUGGAGGUG